AAGAGCCGUGUUCUGUUUAAUUCUAUUAAUUGGCAUGGUCAAUAGAGCGGAAGAUGGUUAAAAGAGGAGACCGACCUGGUUGAAGCUCUGCCUGACGUCAAAGUGGAGGCAAUAAUAGAGCAACAGUG